UUAACAUAAAUUUGUAUGGGGUUAGAACGUUUGCCUACGUUUGCCGCUAGGGGCGCUGUUCCAACUGCAUACAAAUUUGAGUUG
rnacentral:pre_miRNA from 1 species